UAUGUAGGCGGAAUUAUAAGUCAGGUGUGAAAACCACGGGCUCAACCCGUGGCCUGCACUUGAUACUGUGAUUCUAGAGUUUGGGAGAGGCAAGCGGAAUUCCUGGUGUAGCGGUGAAAUGCGUAGAUAUCAGGAGGAACACCGGUGGCGAAAGCGGCUUGCUGGCCUAAAACUGACGCUGAGAUACGAAAGUGUGGGGAGCGAACG
rnacentral:rRNA from 1 species